UACGAAGGGGGCUAGCGUUGCUCGGAAUCACUGGGCGUAAAGCGCACGUAGGCGACUUUCUAAGUCAGGGGUGAAAUCCUGGAGCUCAACUCCAGAACUGCCUUUGAUACUGGGGAGCUCGAGUCCGGAAGAGGUGAGUGGAACUCCGAGUGUAGAGGUGAAAUUCGUAGAUAUUCGGAAGAACACCAGUGGCGAAGGCGGCUCACUGGUCCGGUACUGACGCUGAGGUGCGAAAGCGUGGGGAGCAAACAGG
rnacentral:rRNA from 1 species